rnacentral:rRNA from 1 species
GACGUAGGAUGCGAGCGUUGUUCGGAAUUAUUGGGCGUAAAGCGUGCGUAGGCGGUUUCAUAAGUCUGGUGUUAAAGCUAGGGGCUCAACCUCUGUGAUGCACUGGAAACUGUGGGACUUGAGUGCGGUAGGGGAAGGUGGAAUUCCGAGUGUAGCGGUGAAAUGCGUAGAUAUUCGGAAGAACACCGGUGGCGAAGGCGACCUUCUGGGCCGCAACUGACGCUGAGGCACGAAAGCCUGGGGAGCAAACGGG